rnacentral:sRNA from 1 species
GUGAUGGCGGCGCUGGUUGUAUCCGGGGCAGCGGAGCAGGGCGGCCGAAACGGCCCUGGCAGAGGUCGGGCCCCUCGGGGCCGCGUGGCCAAUCAGAUCCCCCCUGAGAUCCUGAAGAACCCCCAGCUGCAGGCAGCAAUCCAGGUCCUGCCUUCCAACUACAACUUUGAGAUCCCCAAGACCAUCUGGAGGAUCCAACAAGCCCAGGCCAAGAAGGUGGCCUUGCAAAUGCCAGAAGGCCUCCUCCUCUUUGCCUGCACCAUUGUGGAUAUCUUGGAAAGGUUCACAGAGGCCGAAGUGAUGGUGAUGGGUGACGUGACCUAUGGGGCUUGCUGUGUGGAUGACUUCACAGCGAGGGCCCUGGGAGCUGACUUCUUGGUGCACUACGGCCACAGCUGCCUGAGUAUGGCGGGGCCAGGACACCUGGACGGUGGCAGGGCUGGCAGGGAGGCGGGCUGCACACUCAUCUUCCCCAUGGCAGUGCCUUCUUGUCCUGCUUGAGACACGAGGUCCCUCCUGGUUUCUGGGGUGGCCUCUGCCUUCCUGCUCUGCAGGUAGAUCUUUCCUUUGGAUUUGGUUGCCUUGGCAACUGUGCUGUGUCCCAGAUGCAGGUGUUUGAAAGGCUGUUGGUUGUAGAGCAGGCUGGGCCCCGGCCGGGUGACAGAGAAGUCCGAUUGAGAAGGAGCUUCUAGGGGACCUGUAACCCCCCUCUUCUCCUACCCUGUCCUUUUACCCCCAGGCUGAACCCACUGGGCCUGGCUGCUCAGAGACCUGAGCCUGGCCAGGCCCUCUGCUGCUCCUGCCUUCCCAAACAGCCCCUGAACUCCUCCCUCCCACAGUUCCCAUGGACACCUCGGCCCAAGACUUCCGGGUGCUGUAUGUCUUUGUGGACAUCCGGAUAGACACUACCCACCUCCUAGACUCUCUCCGCCUCACCUUUCCCCCAGCCACUGCCCUCGCCCUGGUCAGCACCAUUCAGUUUGUGUCGACCUUGCAGGCAGCCGCUCAGGAGCUGAAAGCCGAGUAUCGUGUGAGUGUCCCACAGUGCAAGCCCCUGUCCCCUGGAGAGAUCCUGGGCUGCACAUCCCCCCGACUGUCCACAGAGGUGGAGGCCGUUGUGUAAGUUAAAAAUGGGGGCCAAGUAAGUCCUAGGGACACGCGUGUACCCUGGGAGGGAGCCUGAGGUUCAUCAUCCAGGAAAGAAACCAAACCUAAUGCUCCUUACCUGUGAGCCCAAGGUCACACUGCAAGGUAGGGACCAAACAGGGAGCAGACCUCAGAUUUACUGUCGCUUUCUCCACUGCCCAGUCCAUCAUCCAGAAGGCUGUGCAGGGUCGGGGCAGG